GACGAACGCUGGCGGCGUGCCUAACACAUGCAAGUCGAGCGAAUGAGGUUCCUUCGGGAAUGGAUUUAGCGGCGGACGGGUGAGUAACACGUGGGCAACCUGCCUCAUAGAGGGGAAUAGCCUUCCGAAAGGGAGAUUAAUACCGCAUAAGAUUGUAGUAUCGCAUGAUACAGCAAUUAAAGGAGCAAUCCGCUAUGAGAUGGGCCCGCGGCGCAUUAGCUAGUUGGUGAGGUAACGGCUCACCAAGGCGACGAUGCGUAGCCGACCUGAGAGGGUGAUCGGCCACAUUGGGACUGAGACACGGCCCAGACUCCUACGGGAGGCAGCAGUGGGGAAUAUUGCACAAUGGGGGAAACCCUGAUGCAGCAACGCCGCGUGAGUGAUGACGGCCUUCGGGUUGUAAAGCUCUGUCUUCAGGGACGAUAAUGACGGUACCUGAGGAGGAAGCCACGGCUAACUACGUG
rnacentral:rRNA from 1 species